rnacentral:rRNA from 1 species
UACGAAGGGGGCUAGCGUUGUUCGGAUUUACUGGGCGUAAAGCGCACGUAGGCGGAUCGUUAAGUCGGGGGUGAAAUCCUGGAGCUCAACUCCAGAACUGCCUUCGAUACUGGCGAUCUAGAGUCCGGAAGAGGUGAGUGGAACUCCUAGUGUAGAGGUGGAAUUCGUAGAUAUCAGGAGGAACACCGAUGGCGAAGGCAGGUCACUGGGCCGCAACUGACGCUGAGGAGCGAAAGCGUGGGGAGCAAACAGG